GCAGCCGCGGUAAUUCCAGCUCCAAUAGCGUAUAUUAAAGUUGUUGCAGUUAAAAAGCUCGUAGUUGAAUUUCGGAAUUUGUCGGUUGGUCGGGCUUCACUGUCCGCACUGACCUGAUGGAUUCCUACCUUCUGAAUAACCAGCAUGCUAUUAAGUUAGUGCGUUGGGGAAGCAGAGCUAUUACCUUGAAAAAAUUAGAGUGCUUAAAGCAGGCUUGUGCUUGAAUAGAUUAGCAUGGAAUAAUAAAAUAGGACGGCAUGGUUCUAUUUUGUUGGUUUCUAGGAUCACCGUAAUGAUUAAUAGGGAUAGUUGGGGGCAUUAGUAUUCAAUUGUCAGAGGUGAAAUUCUUGGAUUUAUUGAAGACUAACUUCUGCGAAAGCAUUUGCCAAGGAUGUUUUCAUUAAUCAAGAACGAAAGUUAGGGGAUCGAAGACGAUCAGAUACCGUCGUAGUCUUAACCAUAAACUAUGCCGACUAGGGAUCGGACGAUGUUAAUUUUUUAAUGACUCGUUCGGCGCCUUACGGG
rnacentral:rRNA from 1 species